rnacentral:rRNA from 1 species
AGAAUCAACGCUGGCGGCGUGCCUCAGACAUGCAAGUCGAACGCGAAAGUCCCCUUCGGGGGACAAGUAGAGUGGCGCACGGGUGGGUAACACGUAGGUAAUCUACCUUCGGAUGGGGAAUAACAACCGGAAACGGUUGCUAAUACCGCAUAAUGCAGCGGCACCUAAUGGUGACAGUUGUUAAAGCGGGGGAUCGAAAGACCUCGCGUCUGAAGAGGAGCCUGCGGCGGAUUAGCUAGUUGGUAAGGUAAUGGCUUACCAAGGCUACGAUCC